GACGUAGGGCGCGAGCGUUGUCCGGAAUUAUUGGGCGUAAAGAGCUCGUAGGCGGCUUGUUGCGUCGACCGUGAAAACCCGGGGCUCAACUUCGGGCUUGCGGUCGAUACGGGCGGGCUAGAGUUCGGUAGGGGAGACUGGAAUUCCUGGUGUAGCGGUGAAAUGCGCAGAUAUCAGGAGGAACACCGGUGGCGAAGGCGGGUCUCUGGGCCGAUACUGACGCUGAGGAGCGAAAGCGUGGGGAGCGAACAGG
rnacentral:rRNA from 1 species